GACGAACGCUGGCGGCGUGCUUAACACAUGCAAGUCGAACGGAAAGGCCCUGCUUUUGUGGGGUGCUCGAGUGGCGAACGGGUGAGUAACACGUGAGUAACCUGCCCUUGACUUUGGGAUAACUUCAGGAAACUGGGGCUAAUACCGGAUAGGAGCUCCUGCUGCAUGGUGGGUGUUGGAAAGUUUCGGCGGUUGGGGAUGGACUCGCGGCUUAUCAGCUUGUUGGUGGGGUAGUGGCUUACCAAGGCUUUGACGGGUAGCCGGCCUGAGAGGGUGACCGGCCACAUUGGGACUGAGAUACGGCCCAGACUCCUACGGGAGGCAGCAGUGGGGAAUAUUGCACAAUGGGCGGAAGCCUGAUGCAGCAACGCCGCGUGCGGGAUGGCGGCCUUCGGGUUGUAAACCGCUUUCGCCUGUGACGAAGCGUGAGUGACGGUAAUGGGUAAAGAAGCACCGGCUAACUACGUG
rnacentral:rRNA from 1 species